rnacentral:rRNA from 1 species
AGUGAACGCUGGCGGUAGGCCUAACACAUGCAAGUCGAACGGCAGCACAGUAAGAGCUUGCUCUUACGGGUGGCGAGUGGCGGACGGGUGAGGAAUACAUCGGAAUCUACUUUUUCGUGGGGGAUAACGUAGGGAAACUUACGCUAAUACCGCAUACGACCUACGGGUGAAAGCAGGGGAUCUUCGGACCUUGCGCGAUUGAAUGAGCCGAUGUCGGAUUAGCUAGUUGGCGGGGUAAAGGCCCACCAAGGCGACGAUCCGUAGCUGGUCUGAGAGGAUGAUCGCCCACACUGGAACUGAGACACGGUCCAGGCUCCUACGAGAGGCAGCAGUGGGCAAUAUUGGACAAUGGGCGCGAGCCUUAUCCAGCCAUACCGCGUGGGUGACGAAGGCCUUCCGGUUGUAAAGCCCUUUUGUUGGGAAAGAAAAGCAGCAGGUUAAUACCCCGCUGUUCUGACGGUACCCAAAGAAUAAGCACCGGCUAACUUCGUG